GAUCCUGGCUCAGGACGAACGCUGGCGGCGUGCCUAAUACAUGCAAGUAGAACGCUGAAGGAAGGAGCUUGCUCUUUCCGGAUGAGUUGCGAACGGGUGAGUAACGCGUAGGUAACCUGCCUGGUAGCGGGGGGAUAACUAUUGGAAACGAUAGCUAAUACCGCAUAACAGUAGAUAUCGCAUGAUAGCUGCUUGAAAGGUGCAAUUGCACCACUACCAGAUGGACCUGCGUUG
rnacentral:rRNA from 1 species